GUGAACGCUGGCGGUGGGCCUAACACAUGCAAGUCGAACGGCAGCACAGUAAGAGCUUGCUCUUACGGGUGGCGAGUGGCGGACGGGUGAGGAAUACAUCGGAAUCUACUUUUUCGUGGGGGAUAACGUAGGGAAACUUACGCUAAUACCGCAUACGACCUACGGGUGAAAGCAGGGGAUCUUCGGACCUUGCGCGAUUGAAUGAGCCGAUGUCGGAUUAGCUAGUUGGCGGGGUAAAGGCCCACCAAGGCGACGAUCCGUAGCUGGUCUGAGAGGAUGAUCAGCCACACUGGAACUGAGACACGGUCCAGACUCCUACGGGAGGCAGCAGUGGGGAAUAUUGGACAAUGGGCGCAAGCCUGAUCCAGCCAUACCGCGUGGGUGAAGAAGGCCUUCGGGUUGUAAAGCCCUUUUGUUGGGAAAGAAAAGCAGCAGGUUAAUACCCCGCUGUUCUGACGGUACCCAAAGAAUAAGCACCGGCUAACUUCGUG
rnacentral:rRNA from 1 species